UCGAGAAUCUUCCGCAAUGGGCGAAAGCCUGACGGAGCGACGCCGCGUGCAGGAUGAAGGCCCUCGGGUUGUAAACUGCUGUCAAGCUAUAGGAACCGUCUGUCGUUAACAGCGGCAGGCCUGACUAAAGCGAGAGGAAGCACCGGCUAACUCCGUGCCAGCAGCCGCGGUAAGACGGAGGGUGCAAACGUUGCUCGGAAUCACUGGGCAUAAAGCGCACGUAGGCGGUCCGUUAAGUCCGAAGUGAAAUCCCCCGGCUCAACCGGGGAACUGCUUCGGAUACUGGCGGGCUCGAGGACGGUAGGGGUGAGCGGAACUCCAGGUGGAGCGGUGAAAUGCGUAGAUAUCUGGAGGAACACCGGUGGCGAAAGCGGCUCACUGGACCGUCUCUGACGCUGAGGUGCGAAAGCCAGGGGAGCGAACGGGAUUAGAUACCCCCGUAGUCC
rnacentral:rRNA from 1 species